AAUUGAGUUUAAUAAAAUGCUGUAAUAAAGACUUACAAAUGGGCCUGACUCUACCACAUACAUUCUAAGGAGCUGGCAAAGGCUUAAGACAGAAAGAUCUCUCUUGAGCUUUUUGUGCAUCAAAUAUUGGCUCUCACAGUC
rnacentral:snoRNA from 1 species